rnacentral:rRNA from 1 species
GAUGAACGCUGGCGGCGCGCCUAACACAUGCAAGUCGAACGGCACCCCUCCUCGGAGGGCAGCGAGUGGCGAACGGCUGAGUAACACGUGGAGAACCUGCCCCCUCCCCCGGGAUAGCCGCCCGAAAGGACGGGUAAUACCGGAUACCCCGGGGUGCCGCAUGGCACCCCGGCUAAAGCCCCGACGGGAGGGGAUGGCUCCGCGGCCCAUCAGGUAGACGGCGGGGUGACGGCCCACCGUGCCGACAACGGGUAGCCGGGUUGAGAGACCGACCGGCCAGAUUGGGACUGAGACACGGCCCAGACUCCUACGGGAGGCAGCAGUGGGGAAUCUUGCGCAAUGGGGGGAACCCUGACGCAGCGACGCCGCGUGCGGGACGGAGGCCUUCGGGUCGUAAACCGCUCUCAGCAGGGAAGAGUCAAGACUGUACCUGCAGAAGAAGCCCCGGCUAACUACGUG